UCACAGGAACAUAUACUUUAGCUCUGUAAUCUUCGUGGGUAAUGCAGAAUUAUGGGCCUAUAAGGGCAGGCCAACAAGAACUUUUCCUACUUUUGAGCUAUCUCUCCUUUUUUUUUAGACAGGGGUGAUUUUUCAGUUGCCAGGAAGAAAUUGUGAUAACUGGAAUGAAAGAAUAGAAAUAGAGCAUGUUCAGGGUAUCAGGUUCCAGGGUCCCAAAAGACUUAGCUUUGG